ensembl:lncRNA
UCCAGCGCCCUUCUGCUGCUAUUCCCCAACCCCCCUUCCACACCAACAGCCCCUGGGACUUAGGGCUCACAAUAGGACUCAGACUCCAAAGCAUUUCAGACCUGGCAAAUGCCCAGGUCACCAGUUGCAACCCCACUGUUUUACAAAAGAAGAUACUGAAGCUAUUCGUUCAUUCCACAAAUAUUUAUGGAGCUACCAUUAUGUGAUGGUGUACCUGGCAUCACUCAGGAGCUAGGGAUGCACUGGGGAGGUCCUGCCCUCAUAAAUGGAACAGGUCAUUGAGGAAGACAGACAUAAAAUAAAUAGCCACAGAAUUAAAGAUACAGCUUUAAAUGGUGCAACGUUGGAAAGGGAAAAGUUUAUGAAUGAAUUUAUGGCUGGCAGGAAGGAGGGCUCCUCUCUGAAGACAUGACCUUAAGACUGGAAACUGAAGGUUGAAUAUAAAUUGGCCAGAAAAAGAAAUGAAGGUGGGAGAAACAUUCCAGACAGAGGAAACAGUAUGUGAGAAGGCCCUGAUGUCCACAGCCUAUGAACAGAGGGCCCUGUCAACAACAGGGCUCCAGGGCUCUGUCUCACCUCAUGGGGAGAAGAGCCUGUAAGGCACACAUCUGUUCCCUGGUGGGCCCCUCCCUCCCUCAUCUCCCUCAUCUCUAAAUGAAAGCCUCCCUAAGGGAAGGCAAUAUUGCUUGCUCUUACUUUAAUCAGUUUGAACAUAUGUAUUUUAUCCCUCAACUUCAUAAUAUUAUGAGUUCUUCCUUCUUCCUUUAGAUAGCAACCCAGAGAAUUUCACUGUUGCCCAAAUUUGACAGAAUAGCAAACCAAGAAGGUUGAUCAAGUAUCCUUGGCUUCACUGAAACUAGCAUCUAAACCAAGACUCCCUGUGCUUUUAAAUAACAACACACCUUUAACUUCCUUAAACACCAGAGGGCUAUACAUCAUGAAGCUCCAUGAAAGCUCCACAGCAUGAAUCAAGCAUAAGAGUCCUUUCACAUGUCACCUUUGCCUUACUAUAUGAACACCACACUGUUACCCACAUGCGUGGUUCAGUAUUAGGGUGGUGUGCCCAAAGUUCACUUGGACAGCUAAGUGCCGGCUCAGGGUCAGUUGGCCACAAUACCAGAAGAUGCACCCCUGAAACAUGAACCUCAUCACCUGUGUGUAAAAAGACUAAGAGAAGAAAGGCAAGUAAGAAUGGAGUUAAGGGAUAUUCUUGCCUUUCAGGGAAAGUCAAUAAUGAAAAUUCCAGAUUUGGGAUCCAAAUUGGUGAUAAAUGAAUAUUGGUGAUAAAUGAAAUGAUUGUGGGUAUUCAGUAAGGAAAAUUGACUAAUUCAUAAUAAUGAGCAGUGGUGUUGGUACCACAAACACACACACAUCAGCCAUGAUUCCUCUUUCCCUCAGCAGUCACAGAAUUACCACGAUUGGAUGAUAGAUAGUACCUGUCAGUGCUCUUGUGGGCGGUGCAAUGGACAAAAGCAGAGACUUGUGGCUAAUGGAUUACUGUCAGCCUGGAGGUAGAUCUCUGCAAAACCUACACAAGGCUAUGGUGGUGUGGGGAAACAGACACUACCUAAGCUGAGUCUGUUAUUCAUGUAUAAAGUUGGGGGGAUAAUAGUGCCCUCCUCACAGGGUUCUCGUGAAGGUCAAAUGGAGUGAUCUAUGCAAAAGUUCCUAAUACUCAUUGCCCAAUACAUGUGGAUAUUUGGGGCAUGGGUGUUAAUGAAGGAUUUGAAUAAAAAUGCUGGGCCAGGGGUAAUCCCAACACUUUGGAAGGCCAAGGUGGGUGGAGCCCUUGAGCCCAGGAGACCAAGGAGCCCUUCAAGACCAGCCUGGGCAACAUGGUGAAACCUUGUCUUUACCAAAUACAAAAAUUAGCCAAGCAUGGUGGUGCACACCUAUAGUACCAGCUAAUCAGGAGGCUGAGGUGGGAGAAUGGCUCGAGCCCAGGAGGUCAAGGCUGCAGUGAGCUGAGACCGUGCCACUGCACUCUAGCCUGGGUGACAGAGUGAGACCCUGUCUCAAAAAAAAAAAAAA